UGUCUGUGUAUGUGUCUGACUGUGUGUGUGUGUGUUUGUGUCUGACUGUGUUUGUGUCUGUGUAUGUGUCUGACUGUGUGUGUGUGUGUGUUUGUGUCUGACUGUGUGUGUGUAUGUGACUGUGUGUGUCUGUGUGUUUGUGUCUGACUGUGUGUGUCUGACUGUGUGUGUGUGUUUGUGUCUGACUGUGUGUGUGUGUGUGUUUGUGUCUGACUGUGUCUGUG